UGCCGCUGGUUCUGGUCGUGCUGCCGGU
rnacentral:sRNA from 1 species